AUGCCCGCCGGCGUGCUGGCCGCAGUGCGGUGGUCCACCGCCUGCUCGGCGCUGCUCAACGCCGCCGCCGCGUCCACCGGCGCGGCCGUCGCCGCCCUCGCGCUCCGGGGCCGCUGCGGGGGCGCGCUCGGCCCCGCAGCCGCCGCCGCGUCCGCGGCCUCCGCGGCGAGGCUCCUCGCGUCCGCCGUCGCCGGGUUCGCGCAGGGCCUGGCGGCGAGCGCGAUCGCCGCCGGCGCCAUCGGGGCGCACGUCGACAGCGACCGCGACCUCCGGCAUCUCUCGCGGCUACGAUACAAUAGAUGGCUUUGGUGGGCAAGGUUUGGGAUGGUGAUUACAGUGCUCCAAUUUGUGCUGGCACUUUAUUUGAUGUGUAUUAUUGUAAAGGAUUUCUCAUCUGGGAAGUCAUUGAAGGAGUGUUUUUCAGGACACGACAAGGACGUCAAUGACUGGAAGAACAUCUUGUUAAUGAUUUUUCUUGUUGUCAUGUGGGUGGGAACAAUAGUCCAGUGUGCCACAGGUUCCGAUGUAUUAAGAUGGAGGUCCUUUUAUGCAACCCAUGAUAUUGCAUGGAGGGCUCACUACAGGGAGGUGUUUGAUCAUGGCAUUCGUGAGGUUUUAUGUUGUCUAGGACGAGUGAAGUACUCGAGUGUACUGGAAGAUGACGAUAUAUGUGUCGUGGCAAAACUGUUGGGAGAUAUUAUGGCUUAUCGUGCAUCUGGAACUGGUCAUCUUGAGCUCAUAGCAGGGUUUUCAUUGUUGCAGAAAUCCAAGAUGUCGACAGUUCUUUCAAGAGAGCAAGUGGAAGCUCCUCCUGAUCUCAUCCAAGAGGCUAUUCUGUUUCAUCCAUUUGCUGAAGCUGCCUAUACAGGUCCGCUACUUGAUUUUGGGAGGAAUCCUCUUAUGUUUCCCUGUGUUUGGCUCAAUAGGCAAGGUAUUUUAACUCCAUGGACUCGUGCUAGACGACCAAUCCUUGAAGGAGAUAAUUGGUGGAGAGGGCAUGCAGCGGCUUUCCUAAAGUAUGUCAAUGUGCCCCCAGAAGUUCUUCGGAAAGGGCGUGUUAGCCAGACAAAACGUGAGGCUGCCUACUUUGUUAUUGUCUUACAUAACUUGAGAACAGUAGUCAUUGCCAUUCGUGGAACUGAGACUCCAGAAGAUGUUAUAACCGAUGGCUUGUGUAGGGAAUGCUCUCUUACCAUGGAUGACUUGGAUGGGCUGAUCAAUUCUGAUCAGUUGCCCCCUCAAGUGAAGGAGGCUGUCCUCUCGUCUUUUCCACACUAUGGGCAUGCAGGAAUUAUUGAAUCGGCUCGAGAAUUGUACACAAAGCUUGAAGGGCAGUCCAUUCAUCAAGAUAAGUCAGAGCUUAUGACAGCUGGGUUCUUAUCUUCGCUGCUCGGAGCUGGAUGUGAGUGUGAUGGAUACAAUAUUGAAAUUGUUGGACAUUCUCUAGGAGGUGCUGUAGCUGCACUUCUUGGUAUUAGGCUAUAUAAACAGUUUCCAAAAUUACAUGUCUUUACUUAUGGAGCUGCACCCUGUGUGGAUUUCGUGAUAGCAGAUGCAUGCUCACAGUUUGUUACCAGCAUUGUCCACAACGAUGAAUUUUCCUCAAGAUUAUCCAUGAAUUCGGUAAUUCGAUUACGUGGUGCUGCUAUCAAAGCUUUAACAAAGGAUACUUCGCCAAAUUCUACUAAAGUUAGCAAACUAGUGAGUGGCUUCACGAGCAACAAAAGGCAUGAUGAACAACACGCUGUGGUUCGAUGUGCUUCUUCUGGUGCUCUUCAGACAGUCAGCGAUGCAAAGCAAAGUAAUGGUCAAAUCCAUGGAAAGAGUGUAAUGCAUACAGUUAGAGGUGGUGUGUUCCUCUUUGGUCAAGCGAUAUCUUGCUUGGUAAAUACUCCAAAACAUAGAAUUAGCUCCACUGCGGCAAUUAACUAUGAGUUGGGACGAUCUAGAACAACAUUAACCUAUAAUGGUGAAAAAUUGACUGUUGCUUCCCGUGGUGUUCUGGAUGGUGCACCUUCUGGAGAACCUAGUGAUGCAUACAGAGAUGACAAGUUUCCAGAAGCUGGCUUGGAUGAAUCCGAAAGUAGUUACAGGUUACCUCAUUCAAAUAACAGUGCUGAGCUCUCAUCUGCUCCGGAUCACACGUGUAUAAUAAGUUUAUCUGAAGGGCAGUCGCCAGAUGUGUACCUCCCUGGCCUCAUUAUUCAUAUCGUUCCCAUAAAGAAUGGUACUUCUCCAUUGCGGAAGACACUUGUGACUCGUCACAAGAACAAGAGUUAUAAAGCAUUUAUGGCGAAUCGGCAGGAUUUUAUGGACCUUGUUGUAACCCCUCGCAUGUUCCUUGAUCAUCUCCCGUGGAGGUGUCACUAUGCCAUGCAAAGGGUUAUAGAAACACGGAAACGGAACCAGCCCAUUCUCAACUCAUCCAGUGGAGAGGAUUCUGUCUAA
rnacentral:rRNA from 1 species